AUUUCUUCAAGCUUGUGCUCUUCGCGUCUGUACUUCGCAAAUAUAAAGCUGAAGAUGAAGGUGGCACUGGUCUUAUUCCUUGUUGCCGCAGUGGCAAUCGUCAGGGUGCAGUCAACGAGUCCACCGAACUGUGCAUUGGUGAAUUGCGCGGACGAACACUGUUCGCCCGUUAACUGUGCCUGUGGGUCCUACAAGGGGUCAUGCGGUUGCUGCGACGUCUGUUACAAGUGUGCCAAUGAAGCCUGCGUUAUACUCCACCAGCACCGUUGCGAGGAAGGAACCGAGUGCAGGCUGAAUAAUCCCGAGGAAAGUAUUUCCCAGGGUGCCCAGGGUACGUGCAUCAGGAAACCAAGCACAGAAGGACCACAUGGUCACAGCCACAAUGAGAAGUAGAACAGAUGGAUGAGUUUGGAAUAAAAAGCCUACCGACGACGUAAACGAAUGCAGGGUCAAAAGCUGAAGACGCUAGCUGUCCUUUGUGAAGCGUCCUUGUAUGCAUUUAUAAUCGGGGGCGGAUCAUUGCUUAUCUUUUAAGGCACAGCCGAAAAUAAACUAUGCAUGUUACAAACUAUGGACUGUUGUGCGCUAUAAGAUGGAAAACAAAUAAAAUAUAUUCAAGCAGUAUGA